rnacentral:rRNA from 1 species
CGCGUAGGCGGUCUGAUAAGUCAGUUGUGAAAGCCCGGGGCUCAACCCCGGAAGUGCAAUUGAAACUGUCAGGCUUGAGUAUGGUAGAGGGAAGUGGAAUUCCUGGUGUAGCGGUGAAAUGCGUAGAUAUCAGGAGGAACACCGGUGGCGAAGGCGACUUCCUGGACCAAUACUGACGCUGAGGCGCGAAGGUGUGGGUAGCAAACA